UGCCAUACCUGGACAACCAGAGGAUACAAGUUGGACCAGGAAGUUGGCAACUGUAUAAGAAAUCCACAAAUUGCAAUACCAAUUAGUAGACAAGUACAUUCUCAUGAGUUUAAUAACAAGAUAUGUAUCGCUCUUGUGAAGAAGGAUGUGCUGAUUAUGCACUGGCCAGGAGAAUGCAUAAUACGUACCUAAGACUCCGUUACAUGCAAUACACGAAUAAUGUGAAAUGAAUGGAUAAGAUUGAUUAAUUCCUAAAUCUACACAAGUAAAACCAGACUUUGUUUGUGGUGAUGAUACGCUGCUACUGGUAAUAAACUGGUAAUAAUGACCAACGGCAAAGGGUUUACUAGUACGUUACACUAUUCAAAAGUCGCUUUGUCCUACAUCUCUGUACGUACGUACUACCCUGUUCCAUUAAAAUUGUGCAUUAGGCUUACUUAAUAAAAUAAACAGUUAUCUUCUUAUCUAACAAAAUUAUUAUUAUAAUGUAAGCCAGUUUAUUACAGUCUGAUUCUAAAUGUCGUAAUGGGUAAUUUUCUGUCCUGCUUGAAAAGUGAAUUGUCGAGAGUGAUGGUGAUGAUAAUAGCACAAAAUGUUGACGCACAAGCAUAUGAAAUGUUACGUAUUAUCUUGUUAUGUUUGGUGAAUUAUUAUUAGUUUUUUUUACAUAAUAAUGUUAAAACCUCGUAUUUUAUAAACUGGGUUUGCUUGAUUCCA